UACAGAGGUCCCAAGCGUUGUUCGGAUUCACUGGGCGUAAAGGGUGCGUAGGCGGUCGGAUAAGUCUGAUGUGAAAUCUUCGAGCUCAACUCGGAAACUGCAUUGGAUACUAUUCGGCUUGAGGUCUGGAGGGGGGACUGGAAUUCUCGGUGUAGUAGUGAAAUGCGUAGAUAUCGAGAGGAACACCAGUGGCGAAGGCGAGUCCCUGGACAGGUCCUGACGCUGAGGCACGAAAGCUAGGGGAGCAAAC
rnacentral:rRNA from 1 species